rnacentral:lncRNA from 1 species
AGGAAAGUUAUGAGAGAAGGAAGGUGGACAGAGAGAAGAUCUUUUCUCUCGAGGAAGGUUUAACCCCCCUCUCUGUAAAGGCAGGGACAGACGCGGGGGCCGCCUCCCUCGCCCCUGGUCCCUGUAGCUGCCAGUGCUGCUCCUCGCCCCGCCGCCGGGACCCCGGCGGGUCCCCUCCGGGUCCCCUCCGCCGACGGGAGCGCGGCCGGGCUGCCAGGCGGGCAGUUUUGAAGAGUCGAUCUUCAUAAUACAAAUCCCCCGGCUUCGCCUCCCCGCCAGCCGCGCGAGCCAGCUUUUUAAUUGAACCCCGGGGAUUUGGCCGCAGCCGAAAGCCCCGGUUCGGGCCCCAGUGUCGUGGGUCCCUGGAAAGCAGGCCAGCGGAUAAUUAUCCCUCACUGCAAUCCGCAGAGCUGGCCUAAUCCGAAAGCUCAAGUGCCCAUGAACCCAGGCAUGGCAGCUGUUGGAGGACACUCUCCUUUUGGGACACUCAGAGCCCAGGAAUAAGGCUGCAGCAAGUCACUGACUCGAAGUUAGGACAAAGUCAGCUGCAGAGUGCACGGUGAAAGAACAGAUACCACUAAACGCCAAGACGGGAAGAUGAGUGAUACAAGCAGCUACUGGCUAGCUGCGUUCAAGCUGCGACGCAUUCCAUUUAUUUUAAUCGCUCCUUCAUUUCGGAAGAAAGCUGGGGAGACGAGGGCAGAGCUACUUCUGCCAGCUCCGUGGGCAUCCGCAGUGCCCCGGCGUGCGGGAGCCCCCGGCGGGGCCGAGACACGAAGCGCGCAGGAGGCGGCAGCGGCAGGGCGCCCGGCCCGGCAGAGCACCUUCCUCUUCCUCCUUCUCCCCUCACAGCCUGCAUUUCGGACCAGCAAGGUGCGUUUCUGUGGGCUGAUUUGUUUGCUUUUAACCAGGUAUGCUGCGAAUUGUGGAAGCUUUCCAUUUACCUUUUCUUCUUGAAGCGUUUUAAUUAUCAUCACUGACCUGUUGGGCAUACCUACAGUAUCAAUGUCCCUUUUACAUCGCUGCCUUCCCUUUCUCUGCAUGUUUCUGCUAUUUAACACUUGCUACCUUUGCCAUUAGAGUCCUAGAGUGACCCCCAUGGGUAUAUUUGAAAGAAAGACCCUCUGCAUUCCAGCACUGCCUCCUUACCCAAGUAAUAGCAAAGGGACCAUUCAGACACAUGGACCACACUGAAGCAUUAAUUAGGCUGAUGAAAUCCAUAGAAAUGUAUGGAUUCAGCAUAAUCGAGUUUCUUCUGCUGACUAUAGUUAAGGAAUACGUGAGCAGCUGGGAGAAUAGAAAGUACUGUUAGGGUGAAGUCAUGCAUGUAAUUGAGUAUAUUUAACAUAACCAUUUUAAUGAUCGGU